UAUAACCAUCCGUCUGCUAGGAGGACAGAAGAAACACUGGCAGCGGUAAGCCAAAUAGGAAACGGAAAAGCAUUUCAAAUUUUUAAAUUUGAAUUGUGAAAGGAACUAUUAUGACCAUCCUUUGGCAUUUCAUCGAUUGCGGCUAACAUGUUUGUAUUACGCUUGCAAGCAGAAGUUCUACAUGGCAAAGGAUACGAAAUCAAAGCCAAAUCCCUGGAAAGGCAUUUGUUGGCAAAUACAUGUGAGAGUGGGAGUAAAAGCUAUUGCAUCUGACAUGGAUUGGAAAGAUUGUCUUUAACAUUUAUGGCUUGCUUUAGAUCUAUGUAUAUUACUAGCAUUUUGCCUGCCUAACAUUGUGUAAAUGUAAUGACUUAUAUGUGUUGGCUAACAAUAGAUUGUCUAUUAUAUCUUAA